rnacentral:rRNA from 1 species
GAUGAACGCUGGCGGCGUGCCUAAUACAUGCAAGUCGAGCGAACGGACGAGAAGCUUGCUUCUCUGAUGUUAGCGGCGGACGGGUGAGUAACACGUGGAUAACCUACCUAUAAGACUGGGAUAACUUCGGGAAACCGGAGCUAAUACCGGAUGAUAUUUUGAACCGCAUGGUUCAAAAGUGAAAGACGGUCUUGCUGUCACUUAUAGAUGGAUCCGCGCUGCAUUAGCUAGUUGGUAAGGUAACGGCUUACCAAGGCAACGAUGCAUAGCCGACCUGAGAGGGGGAUCGGCCACACGGGAAGUGAGACACGGUCCAGACGCCUACGGGAGGCAGCAGAAGGGAAUCUUACGCAAUGGGCGGAAGCCUGACGGAGCAACGCCGCGUGAGUGAUGAAGGUCUUCGGAGCGUAAAACUCUGUUAUUAGGGAAGAACAUAUGUGUAAGUAACUGUGCACAGCUUGACGGUACCUAAUCAAAAAGCCACGGCUAACUACGUG